AUCGCUUCUCGGCCUUUUGACUAAGAUCAAGUGUAGUAUCUGUUCUUUUCAGUUUAAUUUGCCUUUUAAAACGCUCCUUUUGUGGGAAGAAGGGCACAAGCAAAUUUUGGGCUUUGUUGUGAGCCACUUUGAGUCAUUUGGCGUUCAUUGAUUUUUUUUUUUAAUAGCUGCACAAUGCUGAGAUUUGACUUU